rnacentral:rRNA from 1 species
ACGAACGCUGGCGGCAGGCCUAACACAUGCAAGUCGAACGCUCCAGCAAUGGAGAGUGGCAGACGGGUGAGUAACGCGUGGGAACCUUCCCAAUGGUACGGAAUAGCUCAGGGAAACUUGAGGUAAUACCGUAUAAGCCCCUAGGGGGAAAGAUUUAUCGCCAUUGGAUGGGCCCGCGUCGGAUUAGCUAGUUGGUGAGGUAAUGGCUCACCAAGGCGACGAUCCGUAGCUGGUUUGAGAGAAUGACCAGCCACACUGGGACUGAGACACGGCCCAGACUCCUACGGGAGGCAGCAGUGGGGAAUAUUGGACAAUGGGCGCAAGCCUGAUCCAGCCAUGCCGCGUGAGUGACGAAGGCCUUAGGGUUGUAAACCGCUUUCAGCAGGGACGAAAUUGACGGUACCUGCAGAAGAAGCCCCGGCCAACUACGU